rnacentral:rRNA from 1 species
AGACGUCUACAUUAGAUACCCGGGUAGUCCCAGCCGUAAACUAUGCGCGUUAGGUGUAUCGGUGACCACGAGUUACCGAGGUGCCGAAGGGAAACCGUGAAACGUGCCGCCUGGGAAGUACGGCCGCAAGGCUGAAACUUAAAGGAAUUGGCGGGGAGCACCACAACAGGUGGAGCCUGCGGUUUAAUUGGACUCAACGCCGGGAAGCUCACCGGAUAGGACAGCGGAAUGAUUGCCGGGCUGAAGACUCUGCAUGACUAGCUG